rnacentral:misc_RNA from 1 species
GGUAGUAAAAGUCGUAACAAGGUCUCCGUUGGUGAACCAGCGAAGGGAUCAUUACCGAGUUUACAACUCCCAAACCCCUGUGAACAUACCAUUUGUUGCCUCGGCGGUGCCUGCUUCGGCAGCCCGCCAGAGGACCCAAACCCUUGAUUUUAUACAGUAUCUUCUGAGUAAAUGAUUAAAUAAAUCAAAACUUUCAACAACGGAUCUCUUGGUUCUG